ACAAGAAGCUGGGGAGGGGACACAGCCAGGACAGCUGACCCCAAAGCGAUGUCCCAUGCCAUGUGACGUCUUGCUCAGUAACAAAAGCUGGGGGAAAGACGGAGGAAGUGGGAGGACAUUUGGAGUUAUGGUGUUUGUCUGCCCAAGUAACCAUUAUGCGUGAUGGAGCCCUGCUUUCCUGGAGAUGGCUGAACAUCAACCUGCUGAUGGGAAGUAGUGAAUUAAUUCCUUGUGUUGUUUUCCUUUGCAUGCAGCUUUUGCUUUGCCUAUUAAACUGUCUUUAUCUCAACCCACAAGUUUUCUCACUUUUCCCCUUCUGAUUCUCCUCCCCAUCCUGCUGUGAGCCGCUGCCUGCAGGGGUUAAACCACACCAGUGCAUUGAUGGAUUUAUGCUCUCUAUCCUGGGAGGAGACAACUGCGGUAUCAAAACACAAAAACGCAAGUCAAACAUCAGAACUCACAAACACUCAGGAAUUAUUUGUCUAAUAUAUAAUUGCAGUUGUACAUUUAAAUGGUGCAACAUCAAUAGUUUUGUCACAACCACAGACACACGAAGCAUAAAUAGUAACGUAACGGUCAUUAUUGAAUGCUGGCUUUUAAUUAACUGCUUUUCUUUCGGGGCAAAUCAAGUUUAAUAUAAUUAUUGAUAAGGCUAUUUUGGUUUAUCUGGUUCUUCCUUGCUAUUAUCUUGGUAUUAUUUGAAUUGACUUCAAUAUUAAAUUCUUUCAUGUAGGGGCCUGUCCAGAUGGGCCACGCAGCAAGGCAGGCACCUGGUUGGCAGGCGACAGCCUGUCCUUUCACUGCAGCACGACCUCGGUUCUCUUCAAUAAAGUUCUCCUCUGCUCUACCUCUUCAACACUUGAGAGAUGCAUCCAGCCACAUUCCUUUUAAGUUCUUUCAAAACAAAACAAUUGCAGAAGUGCCUGCCUGCAGUCUGGGAGUGUAUUUUCUCAUGCUCUAAUCUGAUAAAUUUAGAUGAACAGUUGAAGACAUUCAGCAAGUGAAAUGAGUUUUGAAGCAGGACGACCUGGGCAUGAGUAUCUGCAUAGGAGAAGAUGAGAAUUAGCCAAAUAGCGGUGGUUUGAAAGGGAAGAGGAAUCUGCAAACAAUAUCAGAUAUGCCGCAGUUACUCAUGGAAAUUAAGAACAAAAUGAGAAUACUCUAAGGAAAAGAAUUGAACUGGAGUUCCCUGGUGAUGAGAAUAGCAGGGGAGGAAGGUGCCACGCUUACGCCAGAUGAGAGUACCUGUCUCAGGGGGAGAAGGUUGCUACCUGGCUCUGCGUGGGUGGUGCUCCAGCAGGGUGGCCUGAGAAAAGUGAAGGUGAUUACGGGCAUUUAACCAAAUCAGCAAGAGUGGGGAUUAGCGUCUCACCACUUGUCAUCACCAGCUGACAUUCUUGAACAGCAUAGGUGGCUUUUCCAUCUAUCAGGCACACAAAAAUAACCAAAGUUUUUCUUCUAAAGAGAUAGAAAAUGUUACACAAUGGGGACAUUAACUAGGUUAUCUCGCCCCUCUCUGCAAUAACAUGAGUGAUUAUGGCAUAACUAAUGUAAAUAUGGAUAUAUUUUAGUAUUCCUGCCUCUUAAAGGAAAGGAGAAACCAAUUUUAAGCUUUUCUAGAUUUCACACAUUUUCCAGAUAUUUUUAGCUUCACCUCCAAAAUGUUCAUGUUUUUCUCCUCCCUUAACUUUUUCUAAAUUGUGACUCAAACUCUCAGAAUACGGGGGAAAAAAAGACCAUUCCUGGAGAGUUUUUAGCACGACUGACCUUAUGAGUAAAACAUACAGGUUUUCUGCUUAGUGACAGUCAUCCCAGAUACUCCAGUGUGUAAUGAGCCUGUGGGGUGACCCGACAGCAUAGUCACGCAGCAAAUCUCCUGGAAGGUCUGUUCCAAGCAGAUUUCUCAAACUCAAAUGAUUUCUUGUCUGUAUUUAAGAUCCGUAUAUUUUAGAGAUAUACUCCCAAUAAUUGCACCAUGUGCUUGUGAUACUGCAUUGUUUUUAGCGAUUAGAAUGCUAAAUUCAGGAAAUAAAGUGAUCACCAUUAUUGGCACUUUUGUUAACUGAAUGAAACCUCUGAUGUUUUCCAAGUUUGCAUACGCCUGACUUCGUUCCAUUAUAAGCUCGUUCUCAGAUUAAACACAGUUCAUGACACUUCAAUGUGUUAACUCUGCUUCAUGAU